AAUGAACGCUGGCGGCAGGCCUAACACAUGCAAGUCGAACGGGUCCUUCGGGACUAGUGGCGGACGGGUGAGUAACGCGUGGGAACGUGCCCCUUGGUACGGAAUAGCCCCGGGAAACUGGGAGUAAUACCGUAUGUGGUCGAGAGACGAAAGAUUUAUCGCCAAGGGAUCGGCCCGCGUUGGAUUAGGUAGUUGGUGGGGUAAUGGCCUACCAAGCCGACGAUCCAUAGCUGGUUUGAGAGGAUGAUCAGCCACACUGGGACUGAGACACGGCCCAGACUCCUACGGGAGGCAGCAGUGGGGAAUCUUAGACAAUGGGGGAAACCCUGAUCUAGCCAUGCCGCGUGAUCGAUGAAGGCCUUAGGGUUGUAAAGAUCUUUCAGGUGGGAAGAUAAUG
rnacentral:rRNA from 1 species